AAAAACAAGGACAUUUCUAUGUGACCCCAAACUGUCUCGUACACACUCAGGAUGAAGGUAUGGGUUAUGAAGACUGGGACGGUCUCAUACACACUCAGGAUGAAGGUAUGGGUUAUGAAGACAGGGACGGUCUCAUACACACUCAGGAUGAAGGUAUGGGUUAUGAAGACAGGGACCGUCUCGUACAUACUUAGGAUGAAGGUAUGGUUUAUGAAGACAGGGACGGUCUCGUACACACUCAGGAUGAAGGUAUGGGUUUAUGAAGACAGGGACCGUCUCGUACAUACUUAGGAUGAAGGUAUGGUUUGUGAAGACAGGGACCGUCUCGUACAUACUUAGGAUGAAGGUAUGGGUUAUGAAGACAGGGACGGUCUCGUACACACUCAGGAUGAAGGUAUGGGUUAUGAAGACAGGGACCGUCUCGUACAUACUCAGGAUGAAGGUAUGGGUUAUGAAGACAGGGACGGUCUCGUACACACUCAGGAUGAAGGUAUGGUUUGUGAAGACAGGGACCGUCUCGUACACACUCAGGAUGAAGGUAUGGGUUAUGAAGACAAGGACGUGUCCAUAUUGCAGAUGCUUAUAGGAC